rnacentral:sRNA from 1 species
AGAUCCAAUUAAGAAGAAUAGUUCUGAGUCUAAACCAGCCCAGAGUGGCUUCUCUAGGGGAAACUCCCCGCUCAGCUGCCCUGAAUCUGUGGAGGCUAGUCCAGCAGUUAAUGAGAAGAGCGUGUAUUCCACUCAUAAUUAUGGGACCACUCAGAGGCAUGGGUGUCGAGGACUGCCUUAUGCUACGAUCAUCCCUCGUUCUGACCUGAAUGGCCUGCCGUCGCCUGUAGAGGAACGCUGUGGAGACAGCCCGAACUCUGAAGGAGAAACUGUACCUACCUGGUGUCCUUGUGGUCUUUCUCAGGAUGGCUUCCUUCUCAACUGUGACAAGUGCAGAUGAUUCCUUAGUGCUCCUUGGCUCGAAUUCUCUGCACUAGGGGAAUGAGCAGGGGGAAGGUUAUUAGACUUCAUCGGCGGAAGCAGGACAACAUAUCAGGUGGGGAUAGCAGUGCAACAGAAAGCUGGGAUGAGGAGCUUUCUCCUUCCACUGUGUUGUAUACAGCAACACAGCACACACCUACAAGCAUCACCUUAACUGUUAGAAGAACCAAACCCAAGAAGCGGAAAAAGAGUCCAGAAAAGGGUCGUGCAGCACCAAAGACGAAGAAAAUCAAGAAUUCUCCCUCUGAAGCACAGAAUUUAGAUGAGAAUACAACUGAGGGCUGGG